UUAAUGGAGAGUUUGAUCCUGGCUCAGGAUGAACGCUGGCGGCGUGCUUAACACAUGCAAGUCGAACGAUGAAGACCGUGCUUGCACGGUUGGAUUAGUGGCGAACGGGUGAGUAUCACGUGAGUAACCUUCCCUUAACUCUGGGAUAAGCCCGGGAAACUGGGUCUAAUACCGGAUACGACCAGUCCUCGCAUGGGGUGCUGGUGGAAAGAUUUAUCGGUUUUGGAUGGACUCGCGGCCUAUCAGCUUGUUGGUGAGGUAAUGGCUCACCAAGGCGAUGACGGGUAGCCGGCCUGAGAGGGUGACCGGCCACACUGGGACUGAGACACGGCCCAGACUCCUACGGGAGGCAGCAGUGGGGAAUAUUGCACAAUGGGCGAAAGCCUGAUGCAGCGACGCCGCGUGCGGGAUGACGGCCUUCGGGUUGUAAACCGCUUUCAGCAGGGAAGAAGCGAAAGUGACGGUACCUGCAGAAGAAGCGCCGGCUAACUACGUGCCAGCAGCCGCGGUAAUACGUAGGGCGCGAGCGUUAUCCGGAAUUAUUGGGCGUAAAGAGCUCGUAGGCGGUUUGUCACGUCUGCUGUGAAAGCCCGGGGCUCAACCCCGGGUGUGCAGUGGGUACGGGCAGACUAGAGUGCAGUAGGGGAGACUGGAAUUCCUGGUGUAGCGGUGAAAUGCGCAGAUAUCAGGAGGAACACCGAUGGCGAAGGCAGGUCUCUGGGCUGUUACUGACGCUGAGGAGCGAAAGCAUGGGGAGCGAACAGGAUUAGAUACCCUGGUAGUCCAUGCCGUAAACGUUGGGCACUAGGUGUGGGGAACAUUCCACGUUUUCCGCGCCGUAGCUAACGCAUUAAGUGCCCCGCCUGGGGAGUACGGCCGCAAGGCUAAAACUCAAAGGAAUUGACGGGGGCCCGCACAAGCGGCGGAGCAUGCGGAUUAAUUCGAUGCAACGCGAAGAACCUUACCAAGGCUUGACAUGGACCGGACCGCUGCAGAGAUGCAGUUUCCCUUCGGGGUCGGUUCACAGGUGGUGCAUGGUUGUCGUCAGCUCGUGUCGUGAGAUGUUGGGUUAAGUCCCGCAACGAGCGCAACCCCUAUCCUAUGUUGCCAGCACGUGAUGGUGGGGACUCAUGGGAGACUGCCGGGGUCAACUCGGAGGAAGGUGGGGACGACGUCAAAUCAUCAUGCCCCUUAUGUCUUGGGCUUCACGCAUGCUACAAUGGCCGGUACAAUGGGUUGCGAUACUGUGAGGUGGAGCUAAUCCCUAAAAGCCGGUCUCAGUUCGGAUCGAAGUCUGCAACUCGACUUCGUGAAGUUGGAGUCGCUAGUAAUCGCAGAUCAGCAACGCUGCGGUGAAUACGUUCCCGGGCCUUGUACACACCGCCCGUCAAGUCACGAAAGUGGGUAACACCCGAAGCCGGUGGCCUAACCCUUGUGGGGGGAGCCGUCGAAGGUGGGACUCGCGAUUGGGACUAAGUCGUAACAAGGUAGCCGUACCGGAAGGUGCGGCUGGAUCACCUCCUUU
rnacentral:rRNA from 1 species